UGAUCAUCAAGAUGUCAAUCUCCUGCCA
rnacentral:piRNA from 1 species